rnacentral:rRNA from 1 species
UACGGGGGGGCAAGCGUUGUUCGGAAUUACUGGCGUAAAGGGCUCGUAGGCGGCCAACUAAGUCGGAUGUGAAAUCCCCAGGCUUAACCUGGGAACUGCAUCCGAUACUGGAUGGCUUGAAUUCGGGAGAGGGAUGCAGAAUUCCAGGUGUAGCGGUGAAAUGCGUAGAUAUCUGGAGGAAUACCGGUGGCGAAGGCGGCAUCCUGGACCGACAUUGACGCUGAGGAGCGAAAGCUGAGGGGAGCAAACGGG